CGUACACUCCUACGGGAGGCAGCAGUGGGGAAUAUUGGACAAUGGGCGCAAGCCUGAUCCAGCCAUGCCGCGUGAGUGAUGAAGGCCCUAGGGUUGUAAAGCUCUUUCACCGGUGAAGAUAAUGACGGUAACCGGAGAAGAAGCCCCGGCUAACUUCGCGCCAGCAGCCGCGGUAAUACGAAGGGGGCUAGCGUUGUUCGGAUUUACUGGGCGUAAAGCGCACGUAGGCGGACUAUUAAGUCAGGGGUGAAAUCCCGGGGCUCAACCCCGGAACUGCCUUUGAUACUGGUAGUCUUGAGUUCGAGAGAGGUGAGUGGAAUUCCGAGUGUAGAGGUGAAAUUCGUAGAUAUUCGGAGGAACACCAGUGGCGAAGGCGGCUCACUGGCUCGAUACUGACGCUGAGGUGCGAAAGCGUGGGGAGCAAACAGGAUUAGAAACCCGGGUAGUCCCAUGAU
rnacentral:rRNA from 1 species